rnacentral:tRNA from 2 species
GGGCCCGUAGCUUAGCUAGGUGGAGCGCACGGCUGAUAACCGUGAGGUCCUGAGUUCGAAUCUCAGCGGGCCCACCA